rnacentral:rRNA from 1 species
AUUGAACGCUGGCGGCAGGCCUAACACAUGCAAGUCGAGCGGAUGAAGGGAGCUUGCUCCUGGAUUCAGCGGCGGACGGGUGAGUAAUGCCUAGGAAUCUGCCUGGUAGUGGGGGAUAACGUCCGGAUACGGGCGCUAAUACCGCAUACGUCCUGAGGGAGCAAGUGGGGGAUCUUCGGACCUCACGCUAUCAGAUGAGCGUAGGUCGGAGUAGCUAGUUGGUGGGGUAAAGGCCUACCAAGGCGACGAUCCGUAACUGGUCUGAGGGGAUGAUCAGUCACACUGGAACUGAGACACGGUCCAGACUCCUACGGGAGGCAGCAGUGGGGAAUAUUGGACAAUGGGCGAAAGCCUGAUCCAGCCAUGCCGCGUGUGUGAAGAAGGUCUUCGGAUUGUAAAGCACUUUAAGUUGGGAGGAAGGGCAGUAAGUUAAUACCUUGCUGUUUUGACGUUACCAACAGAAUAAGCACCGGCUAACUUCGUG